rnacentral:rRNA from 1 species
GACGAACGCUGGCGGCGUGCCUAAUACAUGCAAGUUGAGCGCUGAAGGUUGGUACUUGUACCGACUGGAUGAGCAGCGAACGGGUGAGUAACGCGUGGUGAAUCUGCCUUUGAGCGGGGGACAACAUUUGGAAACGAAUGCUAAUACCGCAUAAAAACUUUAAACACAAGUUUUAAGUUUGAAAGAUGCAAUUGCAUCACUCAAAGAUGAUCCCGCGUUGUAUUAGCUAGUUGGUGAGGUAAAGGCUCACCAAGGCGAUGAUACAUAGCCGACCUGAGAGGGUGAUCGGCCAAAUUGGGACUGAGACACGGCCCAAACUCCUACGGGAGGCAGCAGUAGGGAAUCUUCGGCAAUGGACGAAAGUCGGACCGAGCAACGCCGCGUGAGUGAAGAAGGUUUUCGGAUCGUAAAACUCUGUUGGUAGAGAAGAACGUUGGUGAGAGUGGAAAGCGCAUCAAGUGACGGUAACUACCCAGAAAGGGACGGCUAACUACGUG